rnacentral:rRNA from 1 species
AGUGAACGCUGGCGGUAGGCCUAACACAUGCAAGUCGAACGGUAGCACAGUAAGAGCUUGCUCUUACGGGUGGCGAGUGGCGGACGGGGGAGGAAUACAUCGGAAUCUACUUUUUCGUGGGGGAUAACGUAGGGAAACUUACGCUAAUACCGCAUACGACCUACGGGUGAAAGCAGGGGAUCUUCGGACCUUGCGCGAUUGAAUGAGCCGAUGUCGGAUUAGCUAGUUGGCGGGGUAAAGGCCCACCAAGGCGACGAUCCGUAGCUGGUCUGAGAGGAUGAUCAGCCACACUGGAACUGAGACACGGUCCAGACUCCUACGGGAGGCAGCAGUGGGGAAUAUUGGACAAUGGGCGCAAGCCUGAUCCAGCCAUACCGCGUGGGUGAAGAAGGCCUUCGGGUUGUAAAGCCCUUUUGUUGGGAAAGAAAAGCAGCAGGUUAAUACCCCGCUGUUCUGACGGUACCCAAAGAAUAAGCACCGGCUAACUUCGUG